AUCUACAGGUCGAGCAAGUCUCGUAAAUUUCACGAUUGCGAGCCACGCUUCACGCAACCGUGUUUGCAUACUUGUGUUUCGAGUUGCGUGGUCGUGCGGAGUUAUAUUUACCAAAUUUAAAUAUAAUCGUUUCUAUUACCAUGCUGUCAAAAUUAAAUCAAUAUGGCUACUAAUCUUAUUCUAUCUGUUCUUCAUGAGUUUUAGAUAAUUUUAGUUGUAUUUCUUUGUAAUUUUGUGUUGUACAAAGAUUAAUUUAACAUUUUCUCUGGAAGUAUUAAUUUAGAAAGAUAAUAUGCUUCAUUGGUGUUGUGUUUUGAAGUGUGAAAUGCAAAGUAAUUGUGAUAAAGUCAAGAUAUUCACUUUUAAACUGAACUAAAUAAGGUAUCAUCUGAGAGACAACAAUGGUUAAAUGCAAUACAAUGUACAGGUUUUACUAGCGAAAUGAAAAUUUUCCUGUCCUGUCUGCUGUAAUCAUUUUAUAUAUGGAAAACCAGCCGACUUAAUCGAUAAUAACAAUCUCCAGAUUGGGUUCCUUCAAUAAAUAUGGGCUAUAAACACAAUGGAAUAAGUUCCCCAAAAUCUAAAAUGGAGUGGUAUCAAAGGAGAAUUAAAGGAAAAAAUAUUCAUAUUGAAAUUAUUUAUAAGGCACUGGACUGUCUUAAAUUCUACAAUAAUACUAGAAUCAGCUGAGAGAAGUGGUCUACAAAAAACCAGGAAGGAAACGGAAUAUGUGGCUACGAAAGGCAAAAGAAAGGUUUACAAAGCAAAUGUGACACAUUUUUUUGAAAUAUUUAGGAA